rnacentral:rRNA from 1 species
UACAGAGGUGGCAAGCGUUGUUCGGAAUUACUGGGCGUAAAGGGCGCGUAGGCGGUCUUGUAAGUCUUGUGUGAAAUCCCUCGGCUCAACUGAGGAACGGCACUCGAUACUGCGGAGCUCGAGUACGAGAGAGGGGGGUGGAAUUCCAGGUGUAGCGGUGAAAUGCGCAGAUAUCAGGAAGAACACCAAUGGCGAAAGCAGCUCUCUGGGACGGUACUGACGCUGAGACGCGAAAGCGUGGGGAGCGAACAGG